AGUUUUUUUUUUUUUUUUAAUUUAUAAUUUUUCACAGUGAAUUCAUAUAAUAACAAAUUUAUAAUUGACAAUUAAUUAACAGCGCGUGGCGUUGGAUUGAUACAUAUUUAUUUAUAUAAACACCUAACGAAGUCACACCAUAAACGAAUUGUAUGAUGCAAUAUUCCAUCUCAUAUUACCUGUUUGUCAUAUUGUAGGAUAAUGGUAUAUAUCAUAUUCAAAUCAAUAUUCAAUUGUAUAUUCCAGACCCUCCCUAUCUCUUUCACUUCUUCUAAUUAUAUGUGUGUGUGUGUG
rnacentral:lncRNA from 1 species